CUUUUUUUUUGUCUUCUCCACAUAAACCCCAUCAUUAUAUUCUAUUCCACCCAUAGUGCUAUAUCCAUGGCUCAUGCUCAUGUAUUGCGUGAAAGUCUAAAAAAGUUUGAGAUUACUAAAGUAUGAAACAAUUGCUUGGCUUGCCAUUGGGGUUGUCAUGAUGAGAGCACUCUUGUGUGACGAAAAUGGAACAUGACCAAACUAUAUGAUUUUGUAGGGAUGAACUUUCUUUGGCCAUGUUAUUUUGAGAAGACAUAAUUGCUUAGUUAAUAUGCUUGAAGUAUUAUUACUUUUAUGUUAAUAUUAAACUUUUAUCUUGAAUCUUUCGGAUCUAAAUAUUCAUACCACAAUUAAGAGGGUUAGAUUGAAAAUUAUGCUAAGUAUAAUUGCACAUCAAAAAUUCUGUUUUUAUCAUUUACCUACUCGAGGACGAGCAGGAAUUAAGCUUGGGGAUGCUUGAUACGUCUCCAACGUAUCUAUAAUUUUUUAUUGUUCCAUGCUAUCAUAUAUUCUGUUUUGGAUGUUUAAUGGGCUUAUUUAUGCACUUUUAUAUUAUUUUUGGGACUAACCUAUUAACCGGAGGCCCAGCCCAAAUUGGUGUUUUUUUGCCUAUUUCAGUGUUUCGCAGAAAAAGAAUAUCAAACAGAGUCCAAACGGAAUGAAACCUUCGGGAACGUGAUUUUCGGAACAAACGUGAUCCAGAGGACUUGGAGUGGACGUCAAGCAACAGACGAGGAAGCCACGAGGUAGGGGGCGCGCCUACCCCCCUGUGCGCGCCCUCCACCCUCGUGGGCCCCUCGUUGCUCCACCGACGUAUUUCUUCCUCCUAUAUAUACCCAUAUACCCUAGAAACAUCAUAUAUGGAGCCAAAACCCUAUUUCAACCGCCGCAACCUUCUAUACCCAUGAGAUCCCUCUUGGGGCCUUUUCCGGCGCUCCGCCGGAGGGGGCAGUGAUCACGGAUGGCUUCUACAUCAACACCAUAGCCUCUCCGGUGAUGUGUGAGUAGUUUACCUCAGACCUUCGGGUCCAUAGUUAUUAGCUAGAUGGCUUCUUCUCUCUCUUUGGAUCUCAAUACAAAGUUCUCCUCGAUCUUCUUGGAGAUCUAUUCGAUGUAAUCUUCUUUUGCGGUGUGUUUCUCGAGAUCCGAUGAAUUGUGGGUUUAUGAUCAAGUUUAUCUAUGAACAAUAUUUGAAUCUCCUCUGAAUUCUUUUAUGUAUGAUUGGUUAUAUUUGCAAGUCUCUUCAAAUUAUCAGUUUGGUUUGGCCUACUAGAUUGAUCUUUCUUGCAAUGGGAGACGUUCUUAGCUUUGGGUUCAAUCUUGCGGUGUCCUUUCCCAGUGACAGCAGGGGCAGCAAGGCACGUAUUGUAUUGUUGCCAUGGAGGAUAAAAAGAUGGGGUUUAUAUCAUAUUGCAUGAGUUUAUCCCUCUACAUCGUGUCAUCUUGCUUAAAGCAUUACUUUGUUCUUAUGAACGUAAUACUCUAGAUGCAUGCUGGAUAGCGGUCGAUGUGUGGAGUAAUAGUAGUAGAUGCAGAAUCGUUUCGGUCUACUUGUCACGGACGUGAUGCCUAUAUACAUGAUCAUACCUAGAUAUUCUCAUUACUAUGCUCAAUUAUAUCAAUUGCUCGACAGUAAUUCGUUUACCCACCGUAAUACUUAUGCUAUCUUGAGAGAAGCCACUAGUGAAACCUAUGGCCCCCGGGUCUAUUUUCCAUCAUAUUAAUCUUACAACACUUAGCUAUUUCUAUUGCCGUUAUUUCACUUUGCAUAUUUAUUUCUCUUUAUCAUAAAAAUACCAAAAAUAUUAUCUUAUCAUAUCUAUCAUAUCUCACUCUCGUAAGUGACCGUGAAGGGAUUGAUAACCCCUUUAUCGCAUUGGUUGCGAGAUUCUUAUUUGUUUGUGUAGGUGCGUGGGACUCGAGCGUGGUCUCCUACUGGAUUGAUACCUUGGUUCUCAAAAACUGAGGGAAAUACUUACGCUACUUUACUGCAUCACCCUUUCCUCUUCAAGGGAAAACCAACGCAGUGCUCAAGAGGUAGCAGGGACCGCCAUGAACUUGGCCAGAGCAGGCUGGCCAAGUAGCGCAUGAUAGGGGCUCUCAAGGUCCACCACCUCAAACCAGACUUGCUCUCAGCGGAAGUGAUCUUUGUCUCCGAAGAUGGCAUCUAUCUGGAUCUUGCCGAUUGGUGAGCAGGAAAGACCAGGAACUAUGCCAUGGAAUACAGUCCGACUGGGAUGAAGCUGCUUCUGCUUGAUUCCCAACUUCUCCAUAGUGUCACGGUAUAGGAUAUUGAUGCUGCUGCCGCCAUCUAUCAGAACUCUGGAGAAGCGAGCAGACCGCCUCUCUGUUGCGAAGGUGGCAUCUAAGAACAAGGCAUAAGGACCAGGAGAGGGCAUCACCUCCGGGUGGUCAGCUCUGCUCCAACAGACAGGCUUCUCAAACCAAUGCAUGACCUCGGGGGUCUCUGAUGCUACUGCAUGUACUUCUUGCUGCCGUUGCCGUCUGCUGUGCCUGUCGUCGGCCACGCUGGUGAACAUGACAUAAGCUCCAUGCUCUUUAGGGUACUCAUCUUGUAUUGCGCCAACUGGCCGAGUCGCCGGCUGCUGGGGAGGAGGAGGCGGCGGGCCGGCAGGCGGCGGAGGCAGGAGUCUGUCACCCUUGGCGAUUCUGGUGAGCCAAUGGCAUUUCCGAGUGGUGUGGUUGGAUGGCUUCGCGCCGCUGUGAAACUUGCAGGGUGCAUCGAGAGUCUGCUCGUACGAGAAGGCGGGCAACCAGUUGGGCUUGCCACCCUUCUGACGCAUGGGAGGAGGCUGCCCUUCCGGCUGCUGGUCUUCAACUGUCGCCACCUGCCGGCUUGUGGAUUCCGGCUGCGUGGCCUUGCGCUUGUUGUCAUUCUGUUGCUGACGCCGACUGGUGUCACCAGCCAGAGUCCGAGGAGCUACUUUGCCAUAUGCGUCAACUUGAAUCUCCGCCUUCAUGGAGGACUCGGCCGUGGCAUACUUGUCUGCUAUGAUCAGCAGUUCGUCGAGGGUCGCCGGCUCAUCGCAGAGAAGCAGGUGCUUGAGGAGGGUGCCUUCUCGGCACCCGGCAGUGAAGUACUCGGUGGCCUGCACCACGUGCACGCCCUCGCAAGAGUUGCGCAGCUCGGCCCAACGCGUGAGGUAGUCGCGAGUUGAUUCGUUGGGGCCUUGGACGCACAAGGAGAGCUGGCGGGGCUUGGGAGGCCGCUUGUACGUGCUGGUGAAGUUGCGAAUGAAAGCUUCGGUGAAAUCUACCCAUCUGUUGAUGCUGCGGGGCUUCAAGCUGUUCAGCCAUGUCCGGGCUGUGCCCUGGAGCAUGAGCGGAACAUACUUCACGGCGACUCGCUUGUUGCCGUAUGCUAUGCUGACGGCCAUGGAGUAGUCGACCAGCCAGUCUUCCGGCUUCACGGAGCCGGUGUACGUGGGCGUAUCUCUUGGGAGCGUGAAACCUUUGGGGAAGGGCUCAUCUCGGAUUCGGGGGCCAAAACAAGGCGGACCGAAUGCGUCUUCUUCUUCUAGCGCCAGGGAUCGGUUGAAGCGAUCGAUCCGGUGGCGGGCAUCAUUCUCUCCAACACCUUCCCGGCGGCCAAGGCGGUCGCCGAGUGUCGGGUGGUCAACAGGCGGCGGGGAAGCGCGCCUCUCCCUGCGAGGGGGAGGGGGAGGCGGAUAGUCGUCCCGUCGUUCCACUACUCUUGGGCGGCCGUCUUGGUCGUGCUCGAUGGUGAUGCGAGUCCGGCUGCGGCUGGUAGCCAGCUCCUUGUCUCUUCUAUCGCGGACGCCACCAGUCGGCGUCCGGGAGGUCGCGCCUUGAUCUCGGUGAGGAGGCGGGUCGUCGUUCCGCCGGUUGGGCGCUUCAGUGCGGCAGCCGGCCUCUUGCUGCUCAGCAGCCGCAUCAAUGAGCCGCUGGAUGCGCUCCGUCAUGAGGCGACACUCGUCACCCUCGAGCUUGUCCAGCUCUUCUCCUGCCGCCUGGGCAGCUCGUAUAUUCUCCGCGGGCGUGGCGUAGACAGGGCGAUCUGCCCCAAACAUUCUGGCAAUGGCCGCGCCGCGCUGCUGGACCGUGCCGAUGCGGCUAGGCCCACCAGGAGCCGGCGUGCCGCCAACGGCGUGGUCCAUCUCGCGCUGGUAAGCCUCCGAAAGGCGUCUCAUGCUGGCUAACUUCUUGGCGCUCUUGACGAGCUGGACGCGGCGUGCUUCCAGCGUCUCGGCGUCGGCGUCUUCUUGGAUGGGCACAGUCAGGUCUUGCAACGCAGCCUCGAGCGGGUCUCGAGCACCGUCCCCACCCAAGCGCUCGCCAUGGCUGAUGACAAGCACCUCUAUGACGGUGCUCCCGCCGCUGUGCUCGCUAGGAAGCGGCUCAUCGUAGACCACCACGUUGGUGGGGAACGCGUCAACCGACGCCGUGUCGGAGUCGACAAGCAUCGGGUCGGUGGAACCAACCGACUCCAAGUCCACAGCAGGCUCACUAACGACGUUGAGCUGGUCGAGGAGGCUGACGAGGCGGCUCUCGGGGCCAUCUGUGCACGCGUCAGAUGCGGGCUCGUCGGAGAGGCGAAUCUGGCCAACAAGAUCGGCGAGGCAGCUCACCGCGCAGGCAACCUCCGCGCCGUGCAGCGCGUCAGCGCAGACGUCGUCUGGCAUGCCGGGCUGGCUGCGCUCACCAGGAAGGAACAGGGUUCCCGUCCAGAGCAGGUCUCCGUACGACCGUGCACCUCGCCCCACGGUGGGCGCCAAAUGUCGGGGGUUGGGUGCGACAUAUGCCAAGGGAUGGCUUAUCAUGGUGGGAGCUAGUAGAACGUCGCCGGUGCCCGGAAGCAGGAUGAGGUGUAGACAUGAACGCCGACGUACUUUACCCAGGUUCGGGGCUCUCCUAGGAGAUAACACCCCUAGUCCUGCUCUGCGGGGUCUCCGCAUGAUCACUAAGGCACUAUGAGUACAAUGAUGCUCCUUGAGCUGUAUGCUAGAGGUAGGAGAAAGCAGGGCUAGCUCUCUCCUCUCUCUGUGUAUGAGUCUAGGUCUAACAGGUUGGGAACCCUUUGCAUGGGUGCCCUGGGGGGUUUAUAUAGGCCUACCCCCAGGGGUACAAUGGUAAUCUGGCCGGGUGUUGGUCCCGGCUGUCAGUGUCUCUGGUCGCCGGCCUCUCCGCCGGCCGCUGGGCCCCGCCGCCUGGUGGGCCCCGCCGACUGGUCUAGUGCGGAGCCGACAGGCCACCCCCACUGCUUGCGGGUCUGGUCGGCGGCUUGUUACUGUAGCCAUAAGGCUAAUGACGCCUGCUUGGUCAGGGGGCAUGGCUACAGUCCCGGCGUCUGGUGGGAGAUCACUGUAGCCACUCCGUGUCUUGUCUGGUUAAUGGCGCACGGACAUCGAGGGAGGAGCGGGCCGCCUGCUAGAAGUCGGCCUUCCUUGGGUCCGACUGGUCAACCUUUGCCGUCCUCUGGUCUCUCGCUACCCGGUAGGGCCCGCCGCCUGCAGGCCGUUCCGACAGGCCGUCGUGGGAGCAGGGCUCCGCCUGACAGGGGUGACGUCAGGGGUGGAGUGGCAACAGUGCCGCGCCGUGCGGAGAUCCCUGCCUGUACGGGGCACUGUGGCCUCGCCGUGCCCUGGACGUGGGGGUGAUGGGCUACACUAUAGCCACAUCCUGUCUUGUCUUCUUAAUGGGGGCGCAGACUUUGAGGGCAUCGCGGGCCGCCUGCUAGGAGCCGGCCUCUCUGGAGGCCACCUGCUAGGAGUCGGCCCGUCUUGGAGCCGCCUUCUAGUGCUUGGCCGUCUUCUGGCAGCCGGCCGCUCGAGUCAGCCGGUCACCAAAAGGCGUCGCUUCAUUCUGGAUGCUUGAGGGGCGCAGCCGGCCCAAUGUCUUGAAAUGCUCAAGGGCUCGGGUUAGGCUACCCGUGGCCCAAUACUCCGACACUCAUCAAAUACAAUCAAGCAGGAUGUAGGGUUUUACCUCCAUUAAGAGGGCCCGGACCUGGGUAAACAUUGUGUCCCCUUUGUCUCCUGUUACCUUCGAUCCUCAGACGCACAGUUCGGACCCCCUACCCGAGAUCGGCCGGUUUUGACACUGACAUUGGUGCUUUCAUUGAGAGUUCCACUGUGUCGUCGGCAGAAGGUUUGAUGGCUCGUUUGAUCAUCAGCAAUGAUGCUGUUUCCGGGGAAACUUUCCUCCCCGGUCAACUUUUUGUGUUUGGCGGCUUCGAUCUGCAUGCCAAUUCAAUUGCUCACCUUGAACAGAUCGACAGCUACACCCUGGUCAUCAGAUCAGAUUCGGGAGCCUGAAUUACGUCGCUGAUAUCCGAGGAGAUUUGAUCUUCGAAGGGUUCACGGCCUCACCACCAUUACUCAUCUCCAAAAAGGAAACCCAUCGAAUCCAUCAUCAGGCAGCACUCAAAGACCAACUAUCAUCCUGAAGGAAAUAUGCCCUAGAGGCAAUAAUAAAGUUAUUAUUUUAUUUCCUUAUAUCAUGAUAAAUGUUUAUUAUUCAUGCUAGAAUUUUAUUAACCGGAAACUUGGUACAUGUGUGAGUACAUAGACAAACAAAGUGUCCCUAGUAUGCCUCUACUUGACUAGCUCGUUAAUCAAAGAUUGUUAAGUUUCCUAGCCAUAGACAUGUGUUGUCAUUUGAUGAACGGAAUCACAUCAUUAGAGAAUGAUGUGAUGGACAAGACCCAUCCGUUAGCUUAGCACUAUGAUCGUUUAGUUUAUUGCUAUUGCUUUCUUCACGGCUUAUACAUGUUCCUCAGACUAUGAGAUUAUGCAACUGCCGAAUACCGAAGGAACACCUUGUGUGCUAUCAAACGUCACAACGUAACUGGGUGAUUAUAAAGAUGCUCUACAGGUGUCUCCAAAAGUGUUUGUUGGGUUGGCAUAGAUCGAGAUUAGGAUUUGUCACUCCGAGUAUUGGAGAGGUAUCUCUUGGCCAUCUCGGUAAUGCACAUCAUUAUAAGCCUUGCAAGCAAUGUGACUAAUGAGUUAGUUGUGAUGCAUUACGGAACGAGUAAAGAGACUUGCCGGUAACGAGAUUGAACUAGGUAUGAUGAUACGGACGAUCGAAUCUCGGGCAAGUAACAUACCGAUGACAAAGGGAACAACGUAUGUUGUUAUGCGGUUUGACCGAUAAAGAUCUUCGUAGAAUAUGCAGGAGCCAAUAUGAGCAUCCAGGUUCCGCUAUUGGUUAUUGACCAGAGAUGUGUCUCGGUCAUGUCUACAUAGUUCUCGAACCCAUAGGGUCCGCACGCUUAAUGUUCGAUGACGAUUUGUAUUAUGAGUUAUAUGAUUUGAUGUACCGAAGUUUGUUUGGAGUCCCGGAUGUGAUCACGGAUAUGACGAGGAGUCUCCGAAAUGGUCGAGACAUAAAGAUUGAUAUAUUAGAAGGUUGCAUUUGGACAUCGGACUGGUUCCGAGUGAUUCGGGUAUUUUUCCGCAGUACCGGGAGGUUACCGGAACUCCCCGGGAGAAGUUAUGGGCCUUAUGGGCCAUAAGUAGGAAGCACACCAGCCCACAAGGGGCUGGUGCGCCCCCCUCGGGAAGGAGGCCGAAUAGGACAAGGAGAAGGGGGCCAGCCCCCCUUUCCUUCUCCUUCUCCCUUCCCCCCUUUCCUACUCCGUGUGGGAGGUGGAAUCCUACUAGGACUAGGAAGUCCUAGUAGGACUCCACACCUUGGCGCGCCCCCUAGGGCCGGCUGUCUCUCCCUCUCCCUCCUUUAUAUACGGAGGCAGGGGCACCCCAAAGACACACAAGUUGAUCUUUUAGCCGUGUGCGGUGCCCCCCUCCACAUAUACACACCUCGGUCAUAUCGUUGUAGUGCUUAGGCAAAGCCCUGCGCCGGUAACUUCAUCAUCACCGUCACCAUGCCGUCAUGCUGACGGAACUCUCCCUCAGCCUCAACUGGAUCAAGAGUUCGAGGGACAUCACUGAGCUGAACGUGUGCAGAUCGCGGAGGUGCCGUGCAUUUGGUACUUGAUCGGUUGGAUCGCGAAGACGUUCGACAACAUCAACCGCGUUACUAAACGCUUCCGCUUUCGGUCUACGAGGGUACGUGGACAUACUUUCCCCGCUCGUCGCUAUGCUUCUCCUAGAUAGAUCUUGCAUGAUCGUAGGCAAAAAAAUUGAAAUACUACGUUCCCCAACAGUGGCAUCCGAGCCAGCUGUAUGCGUAGAUGUUAUAUGCACGACUAGAACACAAAGAGUUGUGGGCGAUAAUAGUCAUAUUGUUUACCAGCAUGUCAUACUUUGAUUCGGCGGUAUUGUUGGAUGAAGCAGCCCAGACCGACAUUACAUGACUGCGUUCAUGAGACUGGUUUUAUGGACGUGCUUCGCACACAGGUGGCUAGUGGGUGUCUGUUUCUCCAGCUUUAGUUGAAUCGAGUUUGACUACGCCCGGUCCUUGUUGAAGGUUAAAACAUCACACUUGAUGAAAAAUCAUUGUGGUUUUGAUGCGUAGGUAAGAACGGUUCUUGCUAGAAGCCCGUAGCAGCCACGUAAAACUUGCAACAACAAAGUAGAGGACGUUUAACUUGUUUUUGCUGGGCAUGUUGUGAUGUGAUAUGGUCAAGACGUGAUAAGAUAUAAAUUGUUGUAUGAGAUGAUCAUGUUUUGUAACAGUUAUCAGCAACUGGCAGGAGCCAUAUGGUUGUCGCUUUAUUGUAUGAAAUGCAAUCGCCAUGUAGUUGCUUUACUUUAUCACUAAGUGGUAGCAAUAGUCGUAGAAGCAAUAGUUGGUGAGAUGACAACGAUGCUUCGAUGGAGAUCAAGGUGUCAAGUCGGUGACGAUGGUGAUCAUGACAGUGCUUUGGAGAUGGAGAUCAAAGGCACAAGAUGAUGAUGGCCAUAUCAUAUCACUUAUUUUUGAUUGCAUAUGAUGUUUAUCUUUUAUGCAUCUUAUUUUGCUUAGUGCGGCAAUAGCAUUAUAAGAUGAUCUCUCACUAAAAUUUCAAGGUAUAAGUGUUUUCCCUGAGUAUGCACCGUUGUGACAGUUCUUGGUGUUGAGACACCACGUCAUGAUCGGGUGUGAUAAGAUCUACGCACAUACAAUGGGUGCAAGCCAGUUUUGCACACGCAGAAUACUCGGGUUAAACUUGACGAUCCUAGCAUAUGCAGAUAUGGCCUCAGAACACUGAGGCCGAAAGGUCGAGCAUGAAUCAUAUAGUAGAUAUGAUCAACAUAGUGAUGUUCAUCAUUGAAAACUUCUCCAUCUCACGUGAUGAUCGGAUAUGGUUUAGUUGAUAUGGAUCACGUGAUCAUUUAGAUGACUAGAGGGAUGUCUAUCUAAGUGGGAGUUCUUGAGUAAUAUGAUUAAUUGAACUUUAAUUUAUCAUGAACUUAGUCCUGAUAGUAUUUGCAUAACUAUGUUGUAGAUCAAUAGCUCGCGUAUAGCUCCCCUGUUUUAUUUUUGAUAUGUUCCUAGAGAAAACUAUGUUGAAAGAUGUUAGUAGCAAUGAUGCGGACUGAGUCCGUGAUCUGAGGAUUAUCCUCAUUGCUGCACAGAAGAAUUAUGUCCUUGAUGCACCGCUAGGUGACAGACCUAUUGCAGGAGCAGAUGCAGACGUUAUGAACGUUUUGCAAGCUCGGUAUGAUGACUACUUGAUAGUUUAGUACACCAUACUUUACGGCUUAAAACCAGGAAUUCAAAAACAUUUUGAACACCAUGGAGCAUAUGAGAUGUUCCAAGAGUUGAAAUUAGUAUUUCAGACUCAUGCCUGAGUUGAGAGGUAUGAGACCUCUGACAAGUACUUUGCCUACAAGAUGGAGGAGAAUAGCUCAACCAGUGAGCAUGUGCUUAGAUUGUCUGAGUACUACAAUCGCUUGAAUCAAGUGGGUGUUAAUCUUCCAGAUAAAAUAGUGAUUGACAGAGUUCUCUAGUCAUUAUCACCAAGUUACUGGAACUUCGUGAUGAACUAUAAUAUGCAAGGGAUGACGAAAACGAUUCCCGAGCUCUUCGUGAUGCUGGAAUCGACAAAGGUAGAAAUCAAGAAAAGCAUCAAAUGUUGGUGGUUGACAAGACCACUAGUUUCAAGUAAAAGGGCAAGGGAAAGAAAGGGAACUUCAAGAAGAAUGGCAAGCAAGUUGCCACUCCCAUGAAGAAGCCCAAAGCUAGACCCAAGCCUGAAACUAAGUGCUUCUACUGCGAAGGAAAUGGUACUGGAAGUGGAACUGCCCCAAAUACUUGGCGGAUAAGAAGGAUGGCAAAGUGAACAAAAGUAUAUAUGAUAUACAUGUUAUUGAUGUGUACUUUACUAGUGUUCAUAGUAGCCCCUGGGUAUUUGAUACUGGUUCAGUUGCUAUGAUUAGUAACUCGAAACAGGAGUUACAAAAUGAACAAAGACUAGUUGAGGGCAAGGUGACGAUGUGUGUUGGAAGUGAUUCCAAGGUUGAUAAGAUCACCAUCGCACACUCCCUUUACCUUCGGGAUUAGUGUUGAACCUAAAAUAAAUGUUAUUUGGUGUUUGCUUUGAGCAUAAUAUGAUUGGAUCAUGUUUAUUGCAAUACGGUUAUUCAUUUAAGUCAAAGAAUAAUCGUUAUUCUGUUUACAUGAAUAAAACCUUCUGUGGUCAUACACCCAAGGUGAAUGGUUUAUUGAAUCUCGAUCGUAGUGAUGCACAUAUUCAUAAUAUUGAUGCCAAAAUAUGCAAAGAUAAUAAUGAUAGUGCAACAUAUUUGUGGCACUACCGUUUAGGUCAUAUUGGUGUAAAGCACAUGAAGAAACUCCAUGUUGACGGGCUUUUGGAAUCACUUGAUUAUGAAUCACUUGCUGCUUGCGAACCAUGCCUCACGGGCAAGAUGACUAAGACUCCAUUCUCCAGAACAAUGGAGCGAGCAACUGACUUAUUGGAAAUAAUACAUACUGAUGUAUGCGAUCCGAUGAGUGUUGAGGCUCGCAGCGGUCAUCGUUAUUUUCUGACCUUCACAGAUGAUUUGAGCAGAUAUGGGUAUAUCUACUUGAUGAAACAUAAGUCUGAAACAUUUGGAAAUUUCAAAAAAAUUCAGAGUGAAGUCGAAAAUCAUCGUAACAAGAAAAUAAAGUUUCUACGAUCUGAUCGCAGAGACGAAUAUUUGAGUUACAAGUUUGGUCUUCAUUUGAAACAAUGUGGAAUAGUUUCACAACUCAAGCCACCUGGAACACCACAGCGUAAUGGUGUGUCCGAACGUCGUAAUCGUACUUUAUUAAAUAUGGUGCGAUCUAUGAUGUCUCUUACAGAUUUACCACUAUCAUUUUGGGGUUAUGCAUUAGAGACGGCUGCAUUCACGUUAAAUAGGGCACCAUCUAAAUCUGUUGAGACCACACCAUAUGAACUCUGCUUUAGCAAAAACCUAAGAUGUCGUUUCUUAAAAUUUGGGGCUGCGAUGCUUAUGUGGAAAGGCUUCAACCUGAUAAGCUCGAACCCAAAUUGGAGAAAUAUGUCUUCAUAGGAUACCCGGAGGAAACUUUUGGGUACACCUUCUAUCCCAGAUCCGAAGGCAAGAUAUUCGUUGCUAAGAAUGGAUCCUUUCUAGAGAAAUAGUUUCUCGGGGAAGAAGUGAGUGGGAGGAAAGUAGAACUUGAUGAGGUAAUUGUACCUUCUCCCGAAUUGGAAAGUAGUUCAUCACAGAAAUCAGUUCCAGUGAUUCCUACACCAAUUAGAGAGGAAGCUAAUGAUAAUGACCAUGAAACUUUAGAUCAAGUUACUACCGAUCCUCGUAGGUCAACUAGAGCAUGUUCCGCACCUGAGUGUACGGUAAUCCUGUCCUGGAAGUCAUGUUACUAGACCAUAACGAGCCUACGAACUAUGAGGAAGCGAUGAUGAGCCCAGAUUCCGAAAAAUGGCUUGAGGCCAUGAAAUCUGAGAUGGGAUCCAUGUAUGAGAACAAAGUAUGGACUUUGGUUGACUUGCUCGAUGAUCAGCAAGCCAUUGAGAAUAAUUGGAUCUUAAAGAGGAAGACGGACGCUGAUAGUAGUGUUACUAUCUACAAAGCUUGAAUUGUCGCAAAAAGUUUUUUGGCAAGUUCAAGGUGUUGACUACGAUGAGAUUUUCUCACUCGUAGCGAUGCUUAAGUCUGUCCGAAUCAUGUUAGCAAUUAUCACAUUUUUAUAAAUCUGGCAAAUGGAUGUCAAAACUGCAUUCCUUAAUGGAUUUCUUAAAGAAGAGUUGUAUAUGAUGCAACCAGAAGGUUUUAUCAAUCCUAAAGGUGGUAACAAAAUAUGCAAGCUCCAGCGAUCCAUCUAUGGACUGGUGCAAGCAUCUCGGAGUUGGAAUAUACAUUUUGAUAGUGUGAUUAAAAGAUAUGGUUUUAUACAGACUUUUGGAGAAGCCUGUAUUUACAAGAAAGUGAGUGGGAGCACUACAGCCUUUCUAAUAAGUAUAUGUGAAUGACAUAUUGUUGAUCAGAAAUGAUGUAGAAUUUUUCUGGAAAGCAUAAAGGAGUGUUUGAAAGGAAUUUUUCAAAGAAAGACCUCGGUGAAGCUGCUUACAUAUUGAGCAUCAAGAUCUAUAGAGAUAGAUCAAGACGCUUGAUAAGAUUUUUCAAUGAGUACAUACCUUGACAAGAUUUUGAAGUAGUUCAAAAUGGAACAGUCAAAGAAGGAGUUCUUGUCUGUGUUGCAAGGUGUGAAGUUGAGUAAGACUCAAAACCCGACCACGGCAGAAAAUAGAAAGAGAAUGAAAGUCAUUCCCUAUGCCUCAGUCAUAGGUUCUAUGAAGUAUGUUAUGCUUUGUACCAGACCUAUUGUGAACCUCACCAUGAGUUUGCAAGAGGGUACAAUAGUGAUCCAGGAGUGGAUCACUAGACAGCGGUCAAAAUUAUCCUUGGUGGAAUAAGGAAAUAUUUCUCGGUUAUGGAGGUGAUAAAGAGUUCGUCGUAAAGAGUUACAUCGAUGCAAGCUUAACACCGAUCUGGAUGACUUUGAGUCUCAAUCUGGAUACAUAUUGAAAGUGGGAGCAAUUAGCUAGAGUAGCUCCUUGCAGAGCAUUGUAGACAUAGAAAUUUGCAAAAUACAUAUGGAUCUGAAUAAGGUAGACCCAUUGACUAAACUUCUCUCACAAGCAAAACAUGAUCACACCUUAGUGCUCUUGGGUGUUAAUCACAUAGCGAUGUGAACUAGAUUAUUGACUCUAGUAAACCCUUUGAGUAUUGGUCACAUGGUGGUGUGAACUAUGGGUGUUAAUCACAUGGUGAUGUGAACUAUUUGUGUUAAAUCACAUGGCGAUGUGAACUAGAUUAUUGACCCUAGUGCAAGAGGGAGACUGAAGGAAAUAUGCCCUAGAGGCAAUAAUAAAGUUAUUAUUUUAUUUCCUUAUAUCAUGAUAAAUGUUUAUUAUUCAUGCUAGAAUUGUAUUAACCGGAAACUUCGUACAUGUGUGAAUACAUAGACAAACAGAGUGUCCCUAGUAUGCCUCUACUUGAAUAGCUCGUUAAUCAAAGAUGGUUAAGUUUCCUAGCCAUAGACAUGUGUUGUCAUUUGAUGAACGGGAUCACAUCAUUAGAGAAUGAUGUGAUGGACAAGACCCAUCCGUUAGCUUAGCACUAUGAUCGUUUAGUUUAUUGCUAUUGCUUUCUUCAUGACUUACACUUUUCCUCAGACUAUGAGAUUAUGCAACUCCCAAAUACCGGAGGAACACCUUGUGUGCUAUCAAACGUCACAACGUAACUGGGUGAUUAUAAAGAUGCUCUGCAGGUGUCUCCGAAGGUGUUUGUUGGGUUGGCAUAGAUCGAGAUUAGGAUUUGUCACUCCGAGUAUCAGAGAGGUAUCCCUGGGCCCUCUCGGUAAUGCACAUCACUAUAAGCCUUGCAAGCAAUGUGACUAAUGAGUUAGUUGCGGGAUGAUGCAUUACGGAACGAGUAAAGAGACUUGCCGGUAACGAGAUUGAACUAGGUAUGAUGAUACCGACGAUCGAAUCUCGGGCAAGUAACAUACCGAUGACAAAGGGAACAACGUAUGUUGUUAUGCGGUUUGACCGAUAAAGAUCUUUGUAGAAUAUGUAGGAGCCAAUAUGAGCAUCCAGGCUCCGCUAUUGGUUAUUGACCAGAGAUGUGUCUCGGUCAUGUCUACAUAGUUCUCGAACCCGUAGGGUCCGCACACUUAACGUUCGAUGACGAUUUGUAUUAUGAGUUAUAUGAUUUGAUGUACCGAAGUUUGUUCGUAGUCCCGGAUGUGAUCACGGACAUGACGAGGAGUCUCGAAAUGGUCGAGAGAUAAAGAUUGAUAUAUUGGAAGGUUGCAUUUGGACAUCAGAAUGGUUCCGAGUGAUUCAGGUAUUUUUCUGAAGUACCGGGAAGUUACCGGAACCCCCGGGAGAAGUUAUGGGCCUUAUGGGCCAUAAGAGGGGAGCACACCAGCCCACAAGUGGCUGGUGCGCCCACCUUGGGUAGGAGGCUGAAUAGGACUAGGAGAAGGGGGGCGGCCCCCCCUUUCCUUCUCCUUCUCCCUUCCCCCUUUCCUACUCUUUGUGGGAGGUGGAAUCCUACUAGGACUAGGGAGUCCAAGUAGGACUCCACACCUUGGCGUGCCCCCCUAGGGCCGGCUGCCUCUCCCUCUCCCUCUUUAUAUACGGAGGCAGGGGGCACCCCAAAGACACACAAGUUGAUCUUUUAGCCGUGUGCGGUGCCCCUCUCCACAGAUGCACACCUCGGUCAUAUCAUCAUAGUGCUUAGGCGAAGCCCUGCGCCAGUAACUUCAUCAUCAUCGUCACCACGCCGUCGUGCUGACGGAACUCUCCCUCGGCCUCAACUGGAUCAAGAGUUCAAGGGACGUCACUGAGCUGAACGUGUGCAGACCGCAGAGGUGCCGUGCGUUCGGUACUUGAUCGGUUGGAUCGCAAAGACGUUCGACUACAUCAACCACGUUACUAAACGCUUCCGCUUUCGGUCUACGAGGGUACGUGGACAUACUCUCCCCGCUUGUUGUGAUGCUUCUCCUAGAUAGAUCUUGCGUGAUUGUAGGCAAUUUUUUUGAAAUACUACGUUCCCCAACACAUCCCUACCCUGGCCGUAGAUCCAGAGCAGACCACCUCAUCUGAAGAUGGGAGUUUGAAACCCACCGGACUCUCUCCUACUACGGAGCUCUUUGCCGGAGACCCAGAGGCGACCAUAUCUUCGACAAGCUUUGAAUCAAGCAGGACUCUCCCUAUCAUCGGAGAGCCGAACUCACCCCUGGGGGCUAGCUCCAAACUCUCAAGGUCUGCGCCCAUUGAGCACGACCAGGUGUCAUUGAUACGUCUCCGUCGUAUCUAUAAUUUUUGAUUGUUUCAUGCCAAUAUUAUAUCACUUUCACAUACUUUUCGCAACUUUUUAUAUGAUUUAUUGGACUAACCUAUUGAUCCAGUGCCCAGUGCUAGUUCCUGUUUUCUGCAUAUUUUUUGUAUCACAGAGUAUCCAUAUCAAACGAAGUCCAAACACAAUAAAAUUUUACGGAGAUUUUUUUGCAAUAUAUGUGAUUUUUUGGGAGUUGGAAUCACCACAAACGGAGGCCCACACAUGGCACAAUACACCAGGGCGCGCCAGAGGCCCCUAGCACGCGUUGGUGGGUUGUGCCCACCUCGUAUGUCGGUUGGACCUCUACUUCGGGUGCAAGGAAGCUUAUAUCCGGGAAAAAAAUCGUGUUAAAAUCUCAGCGCAAUCGGAGUUACAGAUCUCCAGCAAUAUAAGAAACGGUUUUCGGCCAGAUCUGGGGAACGCGAAACAGACGAGAACAGAGAGGGAGAUCCAAUCUCGGAGGGGCUCCCGCCCCUCCGCCACCAUGGAGACCAAGGACCAGAGAGGGAAAUCACCCCAUCUAGGGGGGAGGCCAAGGAAGAAGAAGAAGAAGGAGGGGGCUCUCUCCCUCUCGCUUCCGAUGGCGCCGGAGUGCCACCGGCGGCAACAAUCGGGAUGCCGAUCUACAUCAACAAUCUUGCUACCGUCAACACCAACUCUCUCCCCCUCUAUGCAGCGGUGUAACACCUCUUCUCCCCGCUGUAAUCUCUACUUAAACAUGGUGCUCAACUCCAUAUAUUAUUUCCCAAUGAUCUAUGGUUAUCCUAUGAUGUUUGAGUAGAUCCGUUUUGUCCUGUGGGUUAAUCGUGAUCUUGGUUGGUAUGAUUGUAUAUUUUAUUUAUGGAGCUGUCCUACGGUGCCCUCCGUAUCACGCAAACGUGAGCGGCCCCCGCUGUAGGGUGUUGCAAUAUGUUCAUGGUUCGCUUACGGUGGGUUGCGAGAGUGACAAAAACUUAAACCCGAGUAACUGGGGUAUGACGUAUGGGAGUAAAGAUGACUUGAUACUUAAUGCUAUGGUUGGGUUUCACGACCUUAAUGAUCUUUAGUAGUUGUGGAUGCUUGCUAGAGUUCAAAUCGUAAGUGCAUAUGAUCCAAGUAGAGAAAGUAUGUUAGCUCAUGCCUCUCCCUCAUAUAGAAUUACAAGAAUGAUUACCGGUACUUGUUAUCGAUUCCCUAGGGACAAAUAACUUUCUUGUUGACAAAAGCUCUCUACUAAAACUAACUUGGUUUUGUCUUUAUCUAAACAGCCCCUAGAUUUUAUUUAUGUGCUCUUUAUUAUCUUGCAAAUCUAUCCUAUCACACCUACAAAGUACUUCUAGUUUCAUAGUUGUUCUAGGUAAAGCGAACGUCAAGCAUGCGUAAGUUGUAUCGGUGGUCGAUAGAACUUGAGGGAAUAUUUGUUCUACCUUUAGCUCCUCGUUGGGUUCGACACUCUUAUUUAUCGAAAAAGGCUACAAACGAUCCCCUAUACUUGUGGGUUAUCAAGAUCUUUUUCUGGCGCCGUUGCCAGGGAGCAAUAGCGUGGGGUGAAUAUUCUCGUGUGUGCUUGCUUGCUUUAUCACUAAGUAGUUUUUAUUUCCUGUUCUAAGUUGUUCUCUAUCUUUAGUUAUGGGUAGGAAACGCAAAUUACCAAAAAAAAUAGUUGUACCUACUAAACCAAUGGUUGAAGAACCACCCAAAAUCUAUCAUACAACUGAAGCUUUCUACUUGGAUCAUCUUCGAUCCAUUUGUGCUCGUGCUAAAACCCAACUAGCUUAGUUGAGGGAAAAUUUAGAUGAGCAUGCUUGUUUUGUGCGACACCGCUUAUCUCAAAAAGGGAAACUUUUACAGCAUCAAAUAAUACUAUGCAAUGCUAUGCUUGGAAUUUAUGUGAAUUGCAUGAUUUUACUUGUUGUUCUGAAGACCCUAAGAAACACCUUCCCUACCAAUGUGAGUUUAUUGAUAAUCGAAUCGUAUCUUCUUAUGCCAAAGAUGUUUAUAAUUACUUCGAUAUUGAACAAAUUGAAGAAUUUGUUGCUUUUAAGGGUGCUUAUGAAAUUUCUUCUUUGAUUGAAAAGUAUGAUGCUACUCUUUACAAAUCUGAAAAUUUUGCCAUACUUGCUAUGAAAAUUAUUCUUCUAAUGCUUAUAUUAAACCAUAUAUUAAGGACUUCUCUGUUGUCCAAGAAGAGACUAAUAUUUUGCAGGAGUCUAUGGAAGAAGAAAUUGAUGAAACUGCGAGCUCAUUGGAUGAAAAAGAUGAUGAGGAGAGCGAAGAACAAAUGGAGGAAGAGCGGACUAGCUACCCGUUCCCACCUUCUAAUGAGAGUAACUCUUCAACUCGUACAUUAUUUAAUGCCCCUUCGUUCUUACCGAAGGAUGAAUGCUAUGAUAAUUGCUAUGAUCCCGUUGAUUCUUUUGAAAUAUCCCUUUUUGAUGAACUUGAUGAUUGCUAUGUUUGUGGCCAAGAUGCCAAUAUGAAUUAUGCUUAUGGAGAUGAACUUGCUAUAGUUCCUUAUGUUAAGAAUGAAACUGUUGCUAUUGCAGCCACACAUGAUAGUCCUAUUAUGUUUUUGAAUUCUCCAAACUACACUAUAUCAGAGAAGUUUGCUCUUAUUAAGGAUUAUGUUGAUGGGUUGCAUUUCGUUACUACACAUGAUGAUUUUGAUGAAUAUAAUAUGCAUGUGCUUGCUGCUCCUACUUGCAAUUAUUAUGAGAGAGGAACUAUAUCUCCACCCUCUAUGUUUCCAUCACGAUAAAAUUGCAAGAAACUUCGUAUGCUAUGUAUUGGCCUUUACUUGAUGUGUAUGAAUUGUUCUUGUAUGACAUGCCGAUGCAUAGGAAGAGAGUUAGACUUCGUCAUUGCUUGAUAUAUGUUGCUUUGUGCUCACUACUAAAUGCUAAAUCAUUGUUAACUAAAAUUGGCUUUGAUAUACCUUGGGAUCCGGGUGGAUUCAUUACUUGAGCACUUUAUGCCUAGCUUAAUGGCUUUAAAGAAAGCGCUGCCAGGGAGACAACCCAGAAGUUUUAGAGAGUCAUUUAUUUCUGUUGAGUGCUUUUACAAAGUUCAAAAAUAUAGAGGGGAACACAAAACUUUUCAAAAAGGAAAGUGAAAGUGAAAGAGAGAAGCAUUGUUGAAGUGGGGGAGCUCCUUGAACUUUGUUCAUGCUCAGGGAAACUUUGUGAAUCUUAAUUACAGAAAAUUUUCAACAAAAAUAAUUAUCCCCUUGUACAAUUCCAUUGUAUUAUAAAAAUAAUGUGCCAAGGUUUGCCUUUAGGAUGUUUAGAUUGCUUGUUGGUUUGUGCGGUGCAAAACAGAAACUUUGGCUGUAGUGCGCGAUUUUACAUUUUUUACUGGAACGUCAAACGGUUCUGAAAUUUUUUGCGUUGUCUUUCUAUACAAAUUGUUUAUUUUUCCUAAUUUUUCAAAAAUUUUGGAGUACCAGAAGUAUGGUGAAUGUUCAGAUUACUACAGACUGUCCUGUUUAAGAUAGAUUCUGUUUUUGAUGUAUUGUUUGCUUGUUUUGAUGACAUUAUCGAUUUCUAUCAGUGGAUUAAGCCAUGGAAAUGUUAUAUUACAGUAGCUACAAUGCAAAAACAAAAUAUGAAUUGGUUUGCAACAGUACUUAGAGUAGUGAUUUGCUUUAUUAUACUAACGGAUUUUACCGAACUUUCUGUUAAGUUUUAUGUGGAUGAAGUGAUCAAAGAUCGAGGAGGUCUCGAUAUGAGGAGAAGGAGGAGAGGCAAGAGCUCAAUCUUGGGGAUGCCUAAGGCACCCCAAGUCUCUCCCUAAUAAUAAAGCACCGAGUGUUUCUGGUCGUAUGUCGUCGACACUUUUGUAAAAAAGUCCCUAUUGUUUCAGGUAUUCAACCCGCAGUCCUAUUUUAUGUGGCUCUCUAAGAAAACGUUUUAUUCUUACAGAAAAGACCCUAUGCUUUUGAGUAUUCAAGCCGCGGUCCUUUUUAGGUGGCUAAUUUCAGAUACAGUGGCCUUUGUACAGAUGAGUUCGUUCUUCAAUUAAAUAGUUCCACCUCGCUGAUAUACAUAUAUAUAUUCUCACCAAUUUAAAUGCGUACAAGAGUUGUCAUGAGAAUCAACAAGCCACAUUAGAAAUCAAAACAUGCAGAGAAAGGGAACGGAAGGAAUCUCCAAAGCGCGAAGGAGCAAAGAAAAUGGAACAGAGUCCACCCGAGCGAACACCGCCACCGGCGCCCUCGCUCGACAGAGGACCCGCGAUCUCCAAAGAGCGAGUCGUUUGAGGCCUAGAGCUGGGGGUAGAGAAGGCCGGAUCGAGGCGGCUGGACGAGGCGCCUGGCCUCCUCGCGAGCUGCGAGCAAAAGAAGCAGCGAGUUUUCCUCAAACAAAAAAGCAGCGAGGAUGAGCGACACAGGAUCGGUCGGACCUGGGGGCAUGCAUGGAGCAGGUGGCGGAAGGAGGUUGUGGGCGUCUAUCUGAAUCGGGCCGGUGGCGAGGCUGUUAGCCGGAUCCGCAGGACGGGCGGGUGGGCAGAUCAGGCGACGGCAGAGGAGCUCCAAGGCACCCAUCCAUGGCCUGCAUGGCGGAUCCAGCUGCUCCGUCGUGGACCCGACGGCAGACGGAUCGAGAUGGAGAGGCGAUGACCUCCAUUGGCAGGCUCCCUGAAGAAAACAUGAGAGAGAUUAUAGAGAGAAGGGGAAGAGAGGAUGAGAGAGGGG
rnacentral:lncRNA from 1 species